UACAGAGGUCUCAAGCGUUGUUCGGAUUUAUUGGGUUUAAAGGGUGCGUAGGCGGUCAAUUAAGUCAGUGGUGAAAUACGGCAGCUCAACUGUCGAGGUGCCAUUGAUACUGGUUGACUUGAGUACUGAUGAGGUAGGCGGAAUGGACGGUGUAGCGGUGAAAUGCUUAGAGAUCGUCCAGAACACCGAUAGCGAAGGCAGCUUACUAAGGAGUAACUGACGCUGAGGCACGAAAGUGUGGGGAUCAAACAGG
rnacentral:rRNA from 1 species